AAAAAGCUUCAAACUGGGAUUAGAUACCCCACUAUGCUUAGCCUUAAACCCAGAUAUUCACAUUACAAAAAAUAUCCGCCAGGUACUACGAGCGUAGCUUAAACCCAAAGGACUUGACGGUGUCUCAGACCCGCCUAGAGGAGCCUGUUCUAGAACCGAUAAUCCACGUUUAACCUCACCACCUCUUGUAUUCCCCGCCUAUAUACCGCCGUCGCAAGCUUACCCUGUGAAGGAAUAUAAGUAAGCAAAAUGGGCACACCCCAGAACGUCAGGUCGAGGUGUAGCUUACGAGGUGGGAAGAAAUGGGCUACAUUUUCUGCACCAGAAUAUACGAACGGUAUUAUGAAACUAAUACCCGAAGGUGGAUUUAGUAGUAAAAAUCAAAUAGAGAGUCAUUUUGAAUAAGGCUCUGAGAUGCGCACACACCGCCCGUCACCCUCUGCAGUCA
rnacentral:rRNA from 1 species